GCUCUUUACAAGCAGCCCCAGACUCUGUGUGAAAGGAUGUCAUAAACCAGUCAAUACUCAGAAACACAAAGGCUUGUCAACUCUCCCCGAAGAGGACAUGUGAAGGGAGAACACAACAAUGAUCAGGUUUAUGAGAAGCAUCUCUCAGCCACAGCAAAUACCUCCACAUUCUGCCUAGCACCCUGCAACUGGUCUCUCCCUAAGGUUGAACCUGCUGAUGUGGGAAGCCUCCAGGGUGGCAAGAAGAUACUCUGAGAAAGCCUCUUCCAGGAGCCUGAGGUGUUGUGGGAAGGGUCUUUCUGAAGGAUACCUCCUUUUCUUGACCCCCCUCCCUGGCAAGAUUAACCAGCCACCUAACAAGUCUGACACUCCCAGGAGGGAGAUUAAGGAUGCAUAUCCAUCAUGUCUGUCUCUAUUCAGUAAUGGCUUGCCAUCUCUAACACAACAUACAGUGACAAUUUGCACACAAUGUGAAGGAUCUGAGGAGAGAAAGGGACACUGGCAUUUUCAUCAUCCUCCUAG